rnacentral:rRNA from 1 species
CCUACGGGAGGCAGCAGUCGAGAAUCAUUCACAAUGGGGGAAACCCUGAUGGUGCGACGCCGCGUGGGGGAAUGAAGGUCUUCGGAUUGUAAACCCCUGUCAUGUGGGAGCAAAUUAAAAAGAUAGUACCACAAGAGGAAGAGACGGCUAACUCUGUGCCAGCAGCCGCGGUAAUACAGAGGUCUCAAGCGUUGUUCGGAAUCACUGGGCGUAAAGCGUGCGUAGGCUGUUUCGUAAGUCGUGUGUGAAAGGCGCGGGCUCAACCCGCGGACGGCACAUGAUACUGCGAGACUAGAGUAAGGGAGGGGGAACCGGAAUUCUCGGUGUAGCAGUGAAAUGCGUAGAUAUCGAGAGGAACACUCGAGGCGAAGGCGGGUUCCUGGACAUUAACUGACGCUGAGGCACGAAGGCCAGGGGAGCGAAAGGGAUUAGAUACCCUUGUAGUC